rnacentral:rRNA from 1 species
UAGGGAAUCUUCGGCAAUGGACGAAAGUCUGACCGAGCAACGCCGCGUGAGUGAAGAAGGUUUUCGGAUCGUAAAACUCUGUUGUUAGAGAAGAACAAGGACGUUAGUAACUGAACGUCCCCUGACGGUAUCUAACCAGAAAGCCACGGCUAACUACGUGCCAGCAGCCGCGGUAAUACGUAGGUGGCAAGCGUUGUCCGGAUUUAUUGGGCGUAAAGCGAGCGCAGGCGGUUUCUUAAGUCUGAUGUGAAAGCCCCCGGCUCAACCGGGGAGGGUCAUUGGAAACUGGGGGACUUGAGUGCAGAAGAGGGGAGUGGAAUUCCAUGUGUAGCGGUGAAAUGCGUAGAUAUAUGGAGGAACACCAGUGGCGAAGGCGGCUCUCUGGACUGUAACUGACGCUGAGGCUCGAAAGCGUGGGGAGCAAACAGG